CUUUUCAUUUUAAAUUACACUUGCUACCUUACUUAAAAUAGCCUGUGAAAAAUCACAAAGCAAAAUCUCUCAAAGUUUGAAAAUUAUUACAUACUUGAUGAU